UUGGUCAUUUAGAGGAAGUAAAAGUCGUAACAAGGUCUCCGUAGGUGAACCUGCGGAGGGAUCAUUACACAAAUAUGAAGGCGGGCUGGAACCUCUCGGGGUUACAGCCUUGCUGAAUUAUUCACCCUUGUCUUUUGCGUACUUCUUGUUACCUUGGUGGGUUCGCCCACCACUAGGACAAACAUAAACCUUUUGUAAUUGCAAUCAGCGUCAGUAACAAAUUAAUAAUUACAGCUUUCAACAACGGAUCUCUUGGUUCUGGCAUCGAUGAAGAACGCAGCGAAAUGCGAUAAGUAGUGUGAAUUGCAGAAUUCAGUGAAUCAUCGAAUCUUAGAACGCACAUUGCGCCCUUUGGUAUUCCAAAGGGCAUGCCUGUUCGAGCGUCAUUUGUACCCUCAAGCUUUGCUUGGUGUUGGGCGUCUUGUCUCUAGCUUUGCUGGAGACUCGCCUUAAAGUAAUUGGCAGCCGGCCUACUGGUUUCGGAGCGCAGCACAAGUCGCACUCUCUAUCAGCAAAGGUCUAGCAUCCAUUAAGCCUUUUUUUCAACUUUUGACCUCGGAUCAGGUAGGGAUACCCGCUGAACUUAAGCAUAUCAAUAAG
rnacentral:rRNA from 1 species